AUACGUAGGUGGCAAGCGUUGUCCGGAAUUAUUGGGCGUAAAGCGCGCGCAGGUGGUUCCUUACGUCUGAUGUGAAAGCCCCCGGCUCCACCGGGGAGGGUCAUUGGAAACUGGGGAACUUGAGUGCAGAAGAGGAUAGUGGAAUUCCAAGUGUAGCGGGGAAAUGCGUAGAGAUUUGGAGGAACACCAGUGGAGAAGGCGGCUGUCUGGUCUGUAACUGACACUGAGGCGCGAUAGCGUGGGGAGCAAACAGGAUGAGAUACCCGGGUAGUCCCCGCCGUAAACGAUGAGUGCUAAGUGUUGGGGGGUUUCCGCCCCUCAGUGCUGCAGCUAACGCAUUAAGCACUCCGCCUGGGGAGUACGGUCGCAAGACUGAAACUUAAAGGAAUUGACGGGG
rnacentral:rRNA from 1 species